UUAAUGAAUCUUAAAGAAAACAAGCACGUGGAUCACAUGGCAAAGAAACUAAGAACAAAGUACAAAUCCGUUCCCCUUUCUUCUCUGAGUCCAGUCCUCCCUUCGUCGUGCCGGAGGCCUCUUCGACGGUGGAGCCACCACAAAACAACAAUUAAAGAAUACCACUCCACCCAGUUUUAGGCACUGAGUCUAAAUCUACCAAUGAAAUUCCUUAAUUCACUUGAGCUAUGCAAAUCAAAGGGAAACAUGAAGAACCCUAACAUUCUCAAAGAUAAAUUAAAUGGCACAUGCUCACAGAUUCGAGCUCAAACAUUAGGGCUAUUGAUGCUAAGAAUUCACUUUACACAUUGGUAACCACAUCAUGAAAAAUAGAAGAGUAAGAAGAUUUACCUCCGAAACGGACGUUUGUUCCGGCGAAGAUUGCAACGGAGAAGACGGAGGACCAGCGGAAAAUCACUUAAAAAACAGGGCCAUGGUCAAUUGGAUAAGUACAAGGCAAUGUUAGGUUAUGUGGACUGCUAUGCAUUUGGAAUUGGCUUGGCUUGCGUUUGGAAAUGGCUUGAAGAGUGGAAAUUGGUGGAUGCUAUGUUUGAAUCAAAGGAGGCUCAUGAAACUUGAAUUCUUGGAAUGGAUUUGCUUGGUCAUGGGAUGAGCUCAAGCCUGCUUCCUAGGGAUGGAUUUGUGCAUGGGCUGACUUGGGAUUCGAGCUUUGGAAUGCAUUGGACUGGUUUUGGAGUCUUGGAAUGCUUGUAAUUUCAUUGUUGUACUCUUGUCAUUAGAAUUCAAAUUGUAUGAAACUUUGAAUGAAUGUAUGGAAUUGUGUUAAAGUAUGUAUUGGAAUGUUAUAAUUGUAAUGUGAUUUCGAAUGUAUGGAAUUAUUAUUGUAUGAAAUGUGAAUAUUGAUGGUUAAA